rnacentral:rRNA from 1 species
AUUCUAGAGAUAGAAAGUAACUUCGGUACAUCGGUGGACAGGUGGUGCAUGGUUGUCGUCAGCUCGUGUCGUGAGAUGUUGGGUUAAGUCCCGCAACGAGCGCAACCCCUAUUGUUAGUUGCCAUCAUUCAGUUGGGCACUCUAGCGAGACUGCCGGUAAGUAAACCGGAGGAAGGUGGGGAUGACGUCAAAUCAUCAUGCCCCUUAUGACCUGGGCUACACACGUGCUACAAUGGUUGGUACAACGAGUUGCGAGUCGGUGACGGCGAGCUAAUCUACUUAAAGCCAAUCUCAGUUCGGAUUGUAGGCUGCAACUCGCCUACAUGAAGUCGGAAUCGCUAGUAAUCGCGGAUCAGCACGCCCGCGGUCGAAUACGUUCCCGGGCCUU